AUUAUUUUGGCAGAGUAGUGCGUUAAAUUUAGAAUUUAAUUAUAUAUAGUUUAAUAUAUAAAUAAUA
rnacentral:tRNA from 1 species